rnacentral:rRNA from 1 species
GACGUAGGGUGCAAGCGUUGUCCGGAUUUACUGGGCGUAAAGAGCGCGUAGGCGGCUCGUUAAGUGAGAAGUGAAAGCUCUUGGCUCAACCAAGAAACCGCUUUUCAUACUGGCGAGCUGGAGUGAUGCAGAGGUGGAUAGAAUUCCUGGUGUAGCGGUGAAAUGCGUUGAUAUCAGGAGGAAUACCCGUGGCGAAGGCGGUCCACUGGGCAUCAACUGACGCUGAGGCGCGAAAGCGUGGGUAGCAAACAGG